CAAAGAUGAUUGUACACCAGUUGGAGAAUCGACUUGUUACAAUAAUAUGGUUUGUGUUUCUGGUAUAUGUGAUUGCAAAAUUCCGGAAACCCAAUAUCACGACCCAAGUGAUAAAAGUUGUAAACCAAUUGGGAAAUUCCAUGGUAAUUGUUCGACUGCGGCCAGAGAUACCAGUUGUUACCCUCCUUUGCUUUGUUCGGACAAUAAAUGCAAGUGCGAACUGCCAGCUACGCAGCAUUAUGAUACAGAUGAUAAUACCUGUAUUGAUAAAUUUGUUGUUGGGACGACGGAAUUAGGAGCUAUUUUAGGCGUAACUAAGGAAUCAGGAAAAGAAGAAAAUGAGCAUAGACAUGGUUUAAGACAUGUAAGAGGCGAAUUUCUUUUGGCAGGAUGUGUUGCUGUGAUAUUGUUUGGCAUGAUCGCAGUUAUGACAACUAUAAUAAUAUAUAAGAAAACAAAAUAAAAUAUGAGUGCAAAGUGAUAUUACGUAUGCCAA